rnacentral:rRNA from 1 species
GAUGAACGCUAGCGGCAGGCUUAAUACAUGCAAGUCGAGGGGCAGCACGAAUAGCAAUAUUUGGUGGCGACCGGCGCACGGGUGCGUAACACGUAUACAAUCUACCUUCAACAGGGGGAUAGCCUUUCGAAAGAGAGAUUAAUACCCCCGUAAUAUAAGAGACGGCAUCGUUUUUUAUUGAAAGUUCCGACGGUUGAAGAUGAGUAUGCGUCUGAUUAGCUAGUUGGUGAGGUAAUGGCUCACCAAGGCGACGAUCAGUAGGGGAUCUGAGAGGACUAACCCCCCACACUGGUACUGAGACACGGACCAGACUCCUACGGGAGGCAGCAGUAAGGAAUAUUGGUCAAUGGAGGCAACUCUGAACCAGCCAUGCCGCGUGCAGGAUGACGGCCCUAUGGGUUGUAAACUGCUUUUGCCAGGGGAUAAAUUCCAUGCGUGGAAACUGAAGGUACCUGGUGAAUAAGCCACGGCUAACUACGUGCCAGCAGCCG